UACAGAGGUCCCGAGCGUUGUUCGGAUUCACUGGGCGUAAAGGGUGCGUAGGUGGUUAGGUAAGUCCGGUGUGAAAUCUCCAGGCUCAACCUGGAAAUGGCAUUGGAUACUAUUUAGCUUGAGGAGUGGAGGGGGGACUGGAAUUCUCGGUGUAGCAGUGAAAUGCGUAGAUAUGCGGAGGAACACCGAUGGCGAAGGCAAUCCCCUGGGCCUGCACUGACGCUCAUGCACGAAAGCGUGGGGAGCAAACAGG
rnacentral:rRNA from 1 species